UACCCGUGGCAUAAAAUACCCUCCAAACCGACAGCCAGAUGGGAAAAGAGGCAACGUCUGAGAAUCCAAGUCAAGUUGAUGGUCAGUCCUCCAGUGAUAACAAGAGAACAAAGGCUCAGCUGGGACCAGUGACCAGCCAGCCCAAUGGGCCUUGCCUCCCAGGAAAGAAGACGAGACACACGGAGAGGAGACAGGAAAUAAUUAUUCCAAGAGAUGAAAGAUGAAGCCAGAGGGAAUAUUAGUACAUACAGAGUGACACCAAGGAGAAGGUGUCAUCAGCCAUCUGCAAACCGAGGACAGAAGUCUCAGAGGAAACCAACACGCCCAGCACCUUGAUACUGAACUUCCAGCCUCCAGAACUACAUCCAGUCAACAAAAACACUAAAUCA